ensembl:lncRNA
AUGUUUUUAUCAGCUGUUUGGACUCUCAUUCUGACGGCACCCAUUCACUGCAGAGCAUCCAUUGAUGAGAAAGUGAUAGAAUGUUACAGUUCUCCAAAUCUGAUGAAGAAAAAAAAACGUAUACAUCUUGAGCGGCCUGAGGAUGGCGUUGGGAGAAAUAUGUUGCACUAUCGAUAUAAGCAAGACUAGGAGCUCUUCAAAAACAGGUUUGUCAUUGUACCUUUUCAUGGAAUGGUAUUUAAAUCUAUAUUUGGUAACAUCUAAAUAAAUUGGUUUUAUUGAAGUCA